rnacentral:rRNA from 1 species
CGGGGGGAGCAAGCGUUGUUCGGAUUUACUGGGCGUAAAGGGCGCGUAGGCGGCCACGACAAGUCACUUGUGAAAUCUCCGGGCUUAACUCGGAACGGUCAAGUGAUACUGUCGGGCUAGAGUACAGAAGGGGCAACUGGAAUUCUCGGUGUAGCGGUGAAAUGCGUAGAUAUCGAGAGGAACACCUGCGGCGAAGGCGGGUUGCUGGGCUGAUACUGACGCUGAUGCGCGAAAGCCAGGGGAGCGAACGGGAUUAGAUACCCCGGUAGUCCUGGCCUUAAACGAUGAAUGCUUGGUGUCUCGGGUUACAUAGUCCCGGGGUGCCGUCGCUAACGCUUUUAGCAUUCCGCCUGGGGAGUACGGUCGCAAGACUG